UCGGGAAUUUUGGGCAAUGGGCGAAAGCCUGACCCAGCAACGCCGCGUGAGGGAUGAAGUAUUUCGGUAUGUAAACCUCGAAAGAAUGGGAAGAAUAAAUGACGGUACCAUUUAUAAGCUCCGGCUAACUACGUGCCAGCAGCCGCGGUAAUACGUAGGGAGCAAGCGUUGUUCGGAUUUACUGGGCGUAAAGGGCGCGUAGGCGGCGCGGUAAGUCACUCGUGAAAUCUCUGAGCUUAACUCAGAACGGCCAAGUGAUACUGCUGUGCUAGAGUGCGGAAGAGGCAACCGGAAUUCUUGGUGUAGCGGUGAAAUGCGUAGAUAUCAAGAGGAACACCUGAGGCGAAGGCGGGUUGCUGGGCCGACACUGACGCUGAUGCGCGAAAGCCAGGGGAGCAAAC
rnacentral:rRNA from 1 species